GAUGAACGCUGGCGGCGUGCUUAACACAUGCAAGUCUUAGGGAAAGGCCUUGUUUUUCUGGCUAGCCCAAGCGGCGAGGUGGUGAACGAGAAAUGAAUUUCCCCUGCUUUACUGUGUGAUAAACUGAGAAAACUGGUGAUAAUACGGGAUAGCAGCCCGUGCCGUGUGGUGGCGGAUGGAAAGGGACGUUGGAGGGGAGUCUUGUGUCCGAUUAGCAUGUUGUUGGGGUGGUGGUGCACCAAGGCAAUGAUGGGGAGUCGGCCGGAGAGGGUGGACGGACACAAGGGGACUGAGAUACGGCCCUUACCCCUACGGGAGGCAGCAGUGGGGAAUAUUGGAAAAUGGGGGCAACCCUGAUCCAGAAAUUCUGUGUGCACGAUGAAGGUUUUCGGAGUGUAAAGUGCUUUCAGCAGGGAAGAAAAAAAUGACGGUAACUGCAGAAGAAGCGACGGCUAAAUACGUG
rnacentral:rRNA from 1 species